rnacentral:rRNA from 1 species
UACAGAGGGUGCGAGCGUUAAUCGGAAUUACUGGGCGUAAAGCGCGUGUAGGCGGUUUGGCAAGUUGGAUGUGAAAUCUCCUGGCUCAACUAGGAGAGGUCGUUCAAUACUGCCAGACUAGAGGACGGUAGAGGAAGGUAGAAUUCCCGGUGUAGUGGUGAAAUGCGUAGAUAUCGGGAGGAAUACCAGUGGCGAAGGCGGCCUUCUGGGCCGUUCCUGACGCUCAGACGCGAAAGCGUGGGUAGCGAACGGG